rnacentral:rRNA from 1 species
AAUAAGCGGAGGAAAAGAAACUAACAAGGAUUCCCCUAGUAACUGCGAGUGAAGCGGGAAAAGCUCAAAUUUAAAAUCUGGCAGCCUUCGGUUGUCCGAGUUGUAAUCUAGAGAAGUGUUAUCCGCGCUGGACCGUGUACAAGUCUCCUGGAAUGGAGCGUCAUAGAGGGUGAGAAUCCCGUCUUUGACACGGACUGCCAGGGCUUUGUGAUGCGCUCUCAAAGAGUCGAGUUGUUUGGGAAUGCAGCUCAAAAUGGGUGGUAAAUUCCAUCUAAAGCUAAAUAUUGGCGAGAGACCGAUAGCGAACAAGUACCGUGAGGGAAAGAUGAAAAGAACUUUGGAAAGAGAGUUAAACAGUACGUGAAAUUGCUGAAAGGGAAACGCUUGAAGUCAGUCGCGUUGUCUGGGAAUCAACCUUGCUUUUGCUGGGCUUACUUUCCAGAUAAUGGGUCAGCAUCAAUUUUGAUCGUUGGAUAAAGUCGGGAGGAAUGUGGCAUCUUCGGGUGUGUUAUAGCCUCUUGUCGCAUACAACGGUUGGGAUUGAGGAACUCAGCACGCCGCAAGGCCGGGUACUUGUACCACGUUCGUGCUUAGGAUGCUGGCAUAAUGGCUUUAAUCGACCCGUCUUGAAACACGGACCAAGGAGUCUAACAUGCCUGCGAGUAUUUGGGUGGAAAACCCGAGUGCGCAAUGAAAGUGAAAGUUGAGAUCCCUGUCAUGGGGAGCAUCGACGCCCGGACCAGACCUUUUGUGACGGAUCUGCGGUAGAGCAUGUAUGUUGGGACCCGAAAGAUGGUGAACUAUGCCUGAAUAGGGUGAAGCCAGAGGAAACUCUGGUGGAGGCUCGUAGCGAUUCUGACGUGCAAAUCGAUCGUCAAAUUUGGGUAUAGGGGCGAAAGACUAAUCGAACCAUCUAGUAGCUGGUUCC